UCUAAACUAUUCAAAAACAAAAUCGGUUUAAAUUUUUUAGUGAGUAUAGUUGACUCUCAUUUUUCUGAAGCACCCAAAUUUGCUUUGAUUCCAAAACAACUGAACCGAUUAAACUUUUUGUGACAUUACGAACUAUGAAUUCGGCAACGGAUUUAAACUCAAAAUUGAGGCCCUCAAGAUCUCAGGAAUACAAACACGUCCAAAGUUGUUUAUGUGUUGUCUUAAUCAUCUGAAAUGGGAAAAUGAAAACAUGAUCAGUAGUAUAAAGAAGCUAAAAGCCAUAGAUCUUCAUCUUCCAGAAAAUCUAUAAAGAAACUGUUUUCAAAUGCAGAAUCUCAGAGCUGAUUUGAUUUUUAGACAGGCUGAUGGUUACUGUGCAAAUGGAAAUUCAAAUUCAUCCCUGUUCUGUGUGCCACACCAUUAAUAACUAUUGCUAAAAUUUUCAUAAAGACUUUUAUAAAAUGAUUUAUGGAUGCUUGGAAACUAAUUUAUUUAAUAACAAUUAUGUAUUUUUAACUUGUGUUUCAACAAAAGGUUAUCAACGUUCAUUUUAAACAAUGAAGGUAAUGUGCAAUUGGAUGAAAUUUAUUUUAAAGUGUGUUUUGUAUUUAAAUAAAAUUUUUAUGCUGUGAAA